rnacentral:misc_RNA from 1 species
GAACGCACCUUGCGCCCUUUGGCUAUUCCGAAGGGCAUGCCUGUUUGAGUAUCAUGAACACCUCAACUCUCGUGGUUUGCUACGAUGAGCUUGGACUUUGGGGGUCUUGCUGGCCUGUGGUCGGCUCCUCUCAAAUGAAUCAGCUUCCCAGUGUUUGGUGGCGUCACAGGUGUGAUAACUAUCUACGCUUGUGGUUUUCCACCAGAUAACCUUCAGCGAUGGGGGUUCGCUGGGGCUCAUAAACGUCUUUCCUCAGUGAAGACAGCUUUUUGAACGUUUGAUCUCAAAUCAGGUAGGACUACCCGCUGAACUUAAG